AGCAUAGAGGGUGAUACUCCCGUCUCUGCUCAGAUUGUCUGUGUGUACGAUACGCUUUCUUUGAGUCGAGUUGUUUGGGAAUACAGCUCAAAGUAGGUGGUAAAUUCCAUCUAAAGCUAAAUAUUGGUGCGAGACCGAUAGCGAACAAGUACCGUGAGGGAAAGAUGAAAAGAACUUUGAAAAGAGAGUUAAAGAGUACCUGAAACUGUUGAAAGGGAACCGUAACAUUUCCAGUGUUGUAUCCUGUGCAUAUUUCAUUAGCGGAGUAAUUUGCUGGUGYCYUGUGCAUGGGUGUGACGUCAGGGUCAGUUUGUAUGCUGCGGGAGAUGGUUAGUAAGGAGGUGCGUCACUUCGGUGAAAGUUAUACCUUGCUAUCUAGUAGCCGUGGUUGAGACUGAGGUGCCUACAACAUGCCUUGAGGUUCGGUGUUGUCUCGUUGUGGUGACUGCUUGGAUAGCUUGCUAUGUCUGUGGUUAAUUAUGGCGAUUGAUGAUGUCGAUAACUUCUGCUGUUCGGGACUCUGGCGAAAUGGAGUGUUACGACCCGUCUUGAAACACGGACCAAGGAGUCUAMCAYSUGUGCAAGUAUUAGGGCGUGGAAACCCAAAUGCGUAAUGAAAGUAAAUGGUGCUUAUGCAUCUGUGGUAGGAAAGGGCUGUAAUGGUCCUGGCACUAUCGACCGAUCAUGAACCUACGGGUGAAAGAUUUGAGUAUGAGCAUAUAUGUUGGUACCCGAAAGAUGGUGAACUAUGCCUGAAUAGGGUGAAGCCAGGGGAAACUCUGGUGGAAGCUCGUAGCGAUUCUGACGUGCAAAUCGAUCGUCAAAUUUGGGUAUAGGGGCGAAAGACUAAUCGAACCAUCUAGUAGCUGGUUCCCUCCGAAAUUUCCCUCAGGAUAGCAGCAACUUUUUACGAUAG
rnacentral:rRNA from 1 species